UACGAAGGGGGCUAGCGUUGCUCGGAAUUACUGGGCGUAAAGGGCGCGUAGGCGGAUAGUUUAGUCAGAGGUGAAAGCCCAGGGCUCAACCUUGGAAUUGCCUUUGAUACUGGCUAUCUUGAGUUCGGGAGAGGUGAGUGGAAUGCCGAGUGUAGAGGUGAAAUUCGUAGAUAUUCGGCGGAACACCAGUGGCGAAGGCGACUCACUGGCCCGAUACUGACGCUGAGGCGCGAAAGCCAGGGGAGCAAACGGG
rnacentral:rRNA from 1 species